AGUCCCUAAGCCGCUAAACGAAGUCUGAUCCCCAAUUCACUUCUCUUCUCUUCUCUUCUCAGUCUUCUGAUCUAAAUCUCUGAUCUUGGUGGAGACGACGAUGUCGGAGCGCUUCCAGCCCAGAUCGCGUAUGGCCUGGCCCAUGAUCUCCUCGGCGCGGCCGCUGGCGUAGACCUCCGCGUUGUCGAAGAAGUUGACGCCGUGGUCGCGGCAGCACUGGAGCAGCGACUUUGCCUCCUUCACGUCCAGCGACUUCAACUUCGCCAUAUGACAGCUGGCUCACCUUCAGCCCCGAUCCGCUGCCUUAAUUAUUUGAGCAGUAUGUUGAUUAUGCUUUUGAUGUUCCCAUGUACUUUGCUCCAGGUCAGUUAUUCACUUAUUUGAUUCAAAUCGUUCGAUGGCUAGAGCGAAGAAGGUAGCUGCUCGGCCUCAUCCAACCGCUUCGGGACUUUGAAUUCAUAAUCUGCAAUUUGCAGUUUUGCACAUAUUGUAUUAUUGUCCAUCUUCACUAGUUCAUUUCUUCUUUUCAAGAAUUCUUCAAUUCAUUUUAGUAUUUUACAUUGUUUGAUUUGGUUUAAGGCAAAAUUGAUUGUGUAGAUUUAUAAGUUGCA